GAUGAACGCUGGCGGCGUGCCUAAUACAUGCAAGUCGAGCGAACAGACGAGGAGCUUGCUCCUCUGACGUUAGCGGCGGACGGGUGAGUAACACGUGGAUAACCUACCUAUAAGACUGGGAUAACUUCGGGAAACCGGAGCUAAUACCGGAUAAUAUAUUGAACCGCAUGGUUCAAUAGUGAAAGACGGUUUUGCUGUCACUUAUAGAUGGAUCCGCGCCGCAUUAGCUAGUUGGUAAGGUAACGGCCUACCAAGGCAACGAUGCGUAGCCGACCUGAGAGGGUGAUCGGCCACACUGGAACUGAGACACGGUCCAGACUCCUACGGGAGGCAGCAGUAGGGAAUCUUCCGCAAUGGGCGAAAGCCUGACGGAGCAACGCCGCGUGAGUGAUGAAGGUCUUCGGAUCGUAAAACUCUGUUAUUAGGGAAGAACAAAUGUGUAAGUAACUAUGCACGUCUUGACGGUACCUAAGCAGAAAGCCACGGCUAACUACGU
rnacentral:rRNA from 1 species